AGUCGGAUCCUGGUACAGAGAGAAAACAUCAGCAUAGAGAUGAGUGAAAUACGAAUAAAUGUUGGACUCUAGCCCAUAAUUACGCAGCACAGUCGGUUUCUCUUGACAAAUGUUCCAUGGUGCAAAAGACGCUAUCUUCCAUCUUGCUUGUGCCCUCUGGAUUUCUUACUUGCUGGCUGUGGUGUAGCCCCCGGCCACAUUGUAAGCUGCCCUGUGGCCCACGUGGUGAGGGACUGAAGAAGGCUCCUGGCCAAAGCCGUGGAGGAACUGGAUGUUGCCGACAAUCAGGCCCCUGAUCACUCCAGCCUCCCUGUCUGAGCCCGUGCCUGCCCCAGGGCAUUUGCACUUGCCAUGUUCUCUGCCUGAGGUCUACCUGUGCCCAGGGCCUAGAUACACCUAGGAAGCCCCAUGUGAAGACAGGACAAGAGCAAAGUCCCCAUCAGCCAGAACCCUGGAUGGCUCCAUGAAGGACAGCCCUUCCCACCCUUCCCUCUCAGCUGCUGACCGAACUUCACAAGACGAAGAGAUUCACUCCUAAUCUGUUAAACGCUGAGAUUUCAAGGCCUAUUGGUUAUUUAAGCCAAUUUACUAUGCUUUUCUAUCAGGCCCAUCUUAGGCAAAUCUUUUUAAAAUUGUUGUAUUUUUCCACUGGUUUUACCAAAGUGAGACAAGGUAAAAAGUUCAAACAUCACAGAAAUGAAUGAAGGUCUCCUGUGCCCGCUCCCUGCUCUUUAAGGAGAAAUAACGACAAUUUAUAAUUUAGAUCUAUUCUUCCAGAUUUUUUUUCCUGUGCUUUUUAUACAAAAAGCAUCAUUUGAUAUCUAUUGUUCUGCAAGACUUCCUUUCACUUAGCAGCAUACCUUGGCUAUCUUUCCAUGUUUGGAUAGAGGGAUCUGCCUUAUUCUUUUUAACAUUGGUCCGGCAUUGGGGAACACAUGUAUAAAUGUAUUUAAUGGGGCCCUGGAUUCGUUAUUUAUUGCUGUGUAACAAACCACCCCGAAAGUUAGCAGCUUCGAACAGCAAACAUUUAUCAUGUGAGAGAUGCUGAGGGUCAGGCUUCCGGAGUGGUUGAGCUGGGUCGCUCUGGCUCCAGGUCUCUGGGGUUGCGGAAAGCUGUCAGCUAAGGCUACUGUCUUCUGAAGGGGCCGGAGAAUCAGCGUCCAGGCUCACUCCUGUGACCGUCACAGGCCUCAGUGCCUCGCUGCCUGUAGUGGCAGACUCUGGUUCCCUGAGCCUCUCCACAGGCUGUCUGCGUGUCCCUAUGAUGUGACAGCUGCUUCCCCAGAGUGAGUAAUGAGAGAGCCCAGGAUGGAAGUGGCAGCGUUUCGUAACCCAAUCUCAGGUGUGACAUUCACAACGGCAGGCCACUCCGCCACUGGUCGCUCAGACCAACUCUGGUACGUGUACGAGGGGCUUCCCAGACCAUGAAUACCAGGUGUGGAGGAGCACCGGGCUCCCUUGGGGGCUGCCACCGUGGGUGCCUGCAGGGGAACGAGGCAAUUUCCCCUUUCCUCCCUUGCAAAUUCUGCUGCAGUGAACAUCCUUGCUCACCUCCCCGUGCACACUUGUGGAAGGGAGCUCUUCUGCCAGAUGAGCUUGCCUGGACGAUCGGUGUGCAUCGCUCGCUGAGUUCUCAAUGCACUGCAGUGAGGGUGCCCAUUUUGCAGAUGAAGAAACUGAGGAUCAGAGGGGCCCCUCGGCUGGGUCUUGUGAAGAUUCUUGGCAUCCUGGGGAACAGAGAAGUCUUGGUAUGAGCUUUCUAGAUGGGCUUUUCUGAUAGGAGAAGAGGAUCAAUGUAGCUGAGCACUGAAGAUGACCGUGAACCGCAGUAAGAGUCGUUGAGGUCUGUGUUGUUCCAGACAUUAUUGGCCUGUGUCAUGAAGAGCAUGGGCAACACCGAUUUUCUUCAGAGUAUGCUAUUCUCGUCUCGGGAUGUCCUUCCAAGUGGCAAGUUUCAAUGCACAGGUAUAGGUAUUGACGAAUAUGUCAUGGUUGCUACCUUGUCUCUGAAGUUGUAAAAUAUAUUCUGACUUCUUCAGAGAUGUUUAAAUGUGGGGGGAAACACAUCUUAGAAUGGAUGAAGUUUGGUGUCAGCAUUACAUGUUCAACAAAAUUACAGGGGUGCCUACUGUAUGCCAGGCCUGCACAAGGGACAAGACUGUCUCGUUUCUGCUCUCAGGGAGCUCACGAUGCCUCUGGGAGAUAGACAUCAGACAAACGCAUAAUCAUGCAGACAUGAUUGUUUAAUGACCAGAGUUGCACUAUAGAAGGGAUAAGCAGCAGGAGUGAUUGUGUCUGGGGUCAGGGAAGGCUUCCUUGAGGAAGUGGCAUCUGAGCUGUGAUAAAGGAAUAGGAACUAACUAGGGAGAGAGGCCAAAGACAUGCAAGGCAGAGGCAGCAGUGUGUGUAAAGGCCCUGGGGACAGGAGGAGUUUGGGGGCUCUAGUGUGACAAAGGAGGGGGAGAGUGGCGGGAACUGGAGCUGAGAGGUGGGAAGGGGCAGAUCCUGAGGGCCUUUUUCCAAAGCACAAUGCAAAGCUGUUGCAGGGCUUUAAGUUGCGAUAGAAACUGAGGUUCAAAGAAGCUAAUCAACAUGCCAAGUCACAGAAAGUGUUGGAGACAGAAGUGGAACUCAGGUCUGGCUGGUUCCAGCACCCAUGCUUUCACUCCUUGCUGGAGGGGCAGAGGAGACUAUCUGAUCCACUUCCUCACUGUCCAUUUGGGGAGACUGGGGCCUAGGAAGGGGAACAGGCUGGCCCCGCCUAAGUGGCACAGUAGGACAGGGACUGAUCUAGAACCCAGAUCUCCAGGACCACAGCUUCCUUCUCACAGCCAGCUCCAGAUGUCCUGAUCCAGCCUCAGCCAAGGCCCCACUUCCCCCAAUCCCAGGGAAACUACUGGUGCUUGGAGAGCAAAGGGCUGUCUCUUCUUAGGCCCCAAGUAGCUGUGUCAAUCAGAUGUCCCUGUUUCCCAGUUUGCGCUGGUGGUGGUUGGUUAGAACCUGAAUCCUGGAGCUUCCAAGUCCACGCCAGGCCCCUGAUGCAAUCAAGUGAGACCUGCCCUGUACUUUCCUCUGGCCACCCUGCCAGGCUUGGGUCAAAUUCCAGUCUCACUGACCUCCCACCCAGGCUUGACAGCAAAAGGACUCUGAGCACGUGGGGGCACAGUACGAAGAUACCACACUGACCAGCCAGG